rnacentral:rRNA from 1 species
UAGGGAAUAUUCCACAAUGGACGAAAGUCUGAUGGAGCGACGCCGCGUGAGGGAUGAAGGUCUUCGGAUUGUAAACCUCUUUCGACAGGGACUAAGUCCUUUGCAGUGAAUAAUUGCAAAGGUUGACGGUACCUAGGGAAGAAGCUACGGCUAACUCUGUGCCAGCAGCCGCGGUAAUACAGAGGUAGCGAGCGUUGUCCGGAUUUACUGGGCGUAAAGGGCUUGUAGGUUGCCUUUUAAGUCAGGUGUGAAAUCGUUCCGCUUAACGGAACAAUUGCAUUUGAUACUGAUUGGCUUGAGUGCAGGAAGGGAAACUGGAAUUUCCGGUGUAGCGGUGAAAUGCGUAGAUAUCGGAAAGAACACCAGUGGCGAAGGCGGGUUUCUGGCCUGCAACUGACACUGAGGAGCGAAAGCCAGGGGAGCAAACGGG